UAGUCUAAAGAAGCUGGCAAAAUUGCACUGUAGAAAUGAACAGUGUUUUGCAUCACAUUUCAGUUUAUUUACAAAAUUGCCACCGCCUCUUCAGUUUCAGAUUGAAAUUUUCAAUUUAUUUACGAAAUUGCCAUCCUUCAGCGUGUACGUGUCGACCAUCGUAGAAAGGGUGGGGGAUGGAAGCAAACCCGAUGUUGUUCCAGAGAUCUCUUCGACGACAAGCCCAUUUUGCUCCAGAGCUCUUCAACGACAAAGUCGAUUCAGCGCCUCACCGUCGCACACCUCGCCUUCCCCUCGCCUUCGCACACCUCGCCUUACCUCGCCGCCGCACUCCUUACCAGAACUCGAAUCAAUGGGAGAGAGGCGUGGGAUGGCAGGGAGGGGAAGGGAGAGGGAGGAGUGAGGCUGCCAAAAAGGGGGUUAGGGUUGAUUUUUUAUCCCCAAAUCAAUUGUUGUUGUCGGUGAUUGAACGAGCAUUGGUUAGAGGGGAACUUUCAUUUCCUUUGUUUCUGAACCGGAAUGGGGUCGAUGGGACCAUGCUCUGUUGCACGUUCAGAUGAGUGAUUUGAGGGAUUUGAUUUCAGGGAUUGGUAAUCCCAUCCCGUGUUUUCCCCUCAUCUCUGUCACACUCAACCUCUCUCUAAUCCUUUAUGUUUCUCUCUCUUUUAGACUCUUCCUUUGUCUCAAUUGUCCAUCGCUCUCAACUUUAGUGCUAACCCUAAUUUGUUCUUUCAUUCCUUAAUUUUCUCCAUCCGAGCAAUGAAAAAUCGAACUGGGUUUUCAGAUUAUUGAUGCUUCACGGACAGAGAAUGGAGAGAGUUGAUUAAGGGAGUUGGUGAGUAUGGGCUUGCACAGAGGGAAGAACGCAGAAAGAGAGAGAGAGAGAGGGAGAGGGAGGGAACGAUUGCACAGAGACAAGGAGAGAGACAGAGAGAGAUCGCAGAAAGAGGAGGAUGACAAAAAUUGAGGAGGAACCCGUGUCUGCAGAGAAUGAGACAAAAAACUACCAAGGAAGAAGGAGACUGCCAGGAAUGUAAAACCCAGGCAGGAGAAGACAAGCAAUGGCGGAGGAACCAAGGCUGUAGAUCUUUAAUAAAAGGUAUAAAUCCUUUUCGUUUCUGGUAGUUUACCCUCGCCUAAAAAUGUGAAAUUUAAUAUGGUGUUGAUGAGUGUGUUUGAAGGCGGAAGAGCUGAUCCUGUAAUUUGAUUGCAUUGUCAUGCUCGAAAUCAUUUAUCAAUUUUAUUAAGUAAUGUUUAUAUCUGCACCAUCUUCUAACUUUUUUAUAAAUGUUUUAACCUUGAUCUAUUGUUUGAUGAUCGUUUUGUAGCACUGACAAUAUCAUCGCUCUUUCCAUUCCUUUAUUUUUUGAUUAGGGAUUUGCAUAUUGCUAAAAGAGAGGAAGACAUUGGCUAUUGUGCUGGAUUUGUAGCUGAGUUGAUGAUUGUCGCUACUUACCUUUUGUAUUCUUCACCGUUUUGUUCCUUAACAAGUGUCUUUUUUUGAAGGGGCUUCAUAGAUGCUUGGCAGAGUCCUGACAUCAAUUUUUUAGGGAAUGGUGGCUGAUAUUGACUCAGAUGAAGCCCCUAUUUAUAUAUCCUGAUCAUUUUUAUGUUCUAUCUUUUCUGACUUGGAUGAUAUUGAUCAAAUGAAUGAGUUAGAAACUGAAAGUUACAUUUGUUCCAUCAAUAUGUUGAUCAAAUGGAUGAGUUAGAAGCUGAAAAUUACAUUUGUUUCUUGCUACUUUUUAUACUGAACAGAUUUUGUGUAUGUAUAGUGCUUUAUUUUCAAGGUUAUUUCUCUCAACACCAUGUGAAUGUACAAAUAGUUCUUUCCCAAUUCAACCAAUUUAAAAAUUGGGAUUUUAAUUGAUGUUCGUCCAUGGUUCCUUACUUUCCAGAUAUUGAAACAUGCAUAAAUUCACCUGGAAAUUAUUCAUGUCAAUGUCCCAAAGGAUACAAACAUGAAGGCAUGGAUGAAAAGAGUUGUAUCAAAGACAACAAAUGGUCAAAAGCCAUUCUCCUCAUUAUUUCAUUAGGGAUGCAUGUUUUUUUUCUCAUGUUAAUAUAUUGCAUAUACAAGCCUAAAUUUAUUUUAUUGGAGCCACUUUUGGAUCCAAAAUUCUCAUAAAGUAUGUCAUUGAUGAAAGUUAUAUUCUGGUGUCUUUUAGUGAUCUUCAUGUUUUUCGUACAAAAUAAGAUUGUUAGCUUCUAUGGUAAGCAGUAUUAACUAUCAGGUAUUUGUUUUCAUAUUGCAUGAAAUUUCCACUUUUUUCAUCUUUGAAUAGUCUCAAGCACGGUAAUAAUAGCACUAGAAAGUGAGGAAAUCCACUUUCUUUGGUCAGAUCCAGCAAAAGCAUACACAUCAAACCCCUCAUUCACACAACAGCCACCAAAGAGACCAUUACUGAGCUCAACCACCUGCAAGUUUUUGAGAAACAAAGAGCCUCAUCCACAGGAAUCUGUAAUUCAUAGCAGCAGGGCUGGAUGAAAAGAAACACCCGUCAGAGCUUUCAACAACUCGAAGCUCAACCACCUGCAAGUUUUUGAGAAACAAAGAGCCUCAUCCACAGGAAUCUGUAAUUCAUAGCAGCAGGAACCCUGAUUCUGGGAGGAAGAAUACACUGCAUUGCCAUCUUUAGAUCCAGUGGGCCCUCUUGACACUGUUAUAUCCAAACCAAAGUUUGGCGAAUUUGAUAUAUGUUGGAUACAAUGGCAGUUCUGCUUCAGCUAUCCAUGUUACUAGAAGAUCAGAAGAUCAUAAAAGGCAAAAAACAGAAAGAAAUGUUAGCUGCUUCGUUUUUUGUCCUAAAAAUGCAGAAAAAUCUCCUCUUUUAAAUUCAUUCAUAGGAAGGCCUUUCUUAAAGAGCGAGACUAUACCUACUGGUGAGCGUUAUGCAGUGAAUGUCAUUAACCAGAUUGGGGACUUCAUUAAUCGUUUAGAAGCGCAUCCAACGAUGUGAGAGCAGAAGGGGAGCAAGCAUGUGAGUGCAGAAGACUUAGCUGCUUGAACAAGAACGACUGCUGCAGGGCGUUCUACAUGUUUUUGGCUUUCAACAUUUUUGCUUCGAGACUUUGCUGCUUGAACAAGAACGAAACACCAUCUUAACUGCAAGACAAAAUACGUGUGGACUGGAUGUUACUUCCGUUUCUUACUGAAACAGGCGUCUUGCAUGUUUUUUGAUUUGCACGUUUGUGCUUGAAAACUUUGAUGCUAGAAUAAGAACGAAACAGUUUUUAUGUUGCCUAACCUAUAGGAUAUAUAUUUUGCCACAUUGACUAUAGGGGCAAGAUUUGUGUGAACUGUAUGUUACUUCUGUUUAUUAGGGAACCAAAACGUUCAGUUUCGUCCUGUUCAUUAUACAAUGUCUUUUCAUGUCAACUCAGUUGAAUGUAUAUAAAAACGAAGCUGCAUAUCGUACUGACCUCA